rnacentral:lncRNA from 1 species
AGUCUCACCUGCAGGCAAAUCGUAGCCUAGAUUAAUUAAUUUCUCCCCACAUAUGCACACCUCCUCUCCUCAUAACAUACAUACAUACUUGUACUACUUUUAGGAAAAUUUCAAGGUUCAAAUCUUUUUUAUAGUGGGUCCCUUCUCUUCUCUUGUACAGUUUCACCGGCUAGCUAGGCUAGGCACACUUAAAUAUUAGCCUUCUCCUGGAAUGGUAGACAAUUUUGUUUGAAAUUGGUUAGUAUGAAGUUUAUUUUGAGGUAAGUUGGUCAAUUGACCAAUAGAAUACUAACACGCAGAUGAAGUUGUAUGUGUG